UACGUAGGGUGCAAGCGUUAAUCGGAAUUACUGGGCGUAAAGCGUGCGCAGGCGGUUUUGUAAGCCAGAUGUGAAAGCCCCGGGCUUAACCUGGGAAUGGCAUUUGGGACUGCAAGGCUUGAGUGCGGCAGAGGAGACUGGAAUUCCUGGUGUAGCAGUGAAAUGCGUAGAUAUCGGGAGGAAUACCGAUGGCGAAGGCAGGUCUCUGGGCUGACACUGACGCUCAUGCACGAAAGCGUGGGGAGCAAACAGG
rnacentral:rRNA from 1 species